GAAUGAUCUGGCUGUGACAUCUGUCACUUAAUUGACCACCAUCGUUGAUUCAGAAGAUCUAGGUGAUUAGGCCGGUAUCCCCAUUGAUGUUCAGGCUUCCUGAAGCUGUAAGCUCCCUCAAAGGGGACAACAUUCAAUGAGUAUAGUGUGACGAAUCUUCAGUCAAGGUUGUAUGAGUUGCUGCUUUCCCCUGCUAAAAAUCUCCAAACAAGCUCUCAGGAAACAGUCUAAAUUAAUAGCUCUUACAAAGCAGGAACACUGUAUUU
rnacentral:snRNA from 1 species